rnacentral:lncRNA from 1 species
CAUGAAUGUAGCAGUGGCCUCUGUGUUGAGAAUGGCAGAGUAAAUGGCAUGUUACAAAGCUUGGGUCAUAAUUCCCUCAUCAUAAAUGGGAUGGCACACUGAGAAGCCUGAGAAUUUGGAUGAGAAUGCAUUAUGCAUGGCGCUCAAAAGAGUGUCUCGGGAGUCCGCACUCCAAUAGUUCUGGUAUUGCGGUUUGUGAUCUAGUGGAGAGGCCAUUUUUUCUAGGGUUACCAAAGCCCAUUUUUG